CAAAUGGAGGUUUUGUAACUUCCGGGAAAACACGGGAAAAUGAGAAAUAGUUCUCAAGUUAUGCAACCUAAUCCAUUUGAUGCUAUAACCUGAUAAUUUUCAUAUGAGUGAAAAUCGUUUGAAUGUAGGAUUCAACUGACAUGAUAUAAAUAUCAACCUUUGAAAUACUCCUAGAAAAAAAAGAAUCUCUUUGUUAUUUUAAAUAGUGCAAUAUGUCUCGACUCCUGCCAGCUACUAAUAAUGACGACUCUUCGGAGAAAGAGCGUCUUU